AGUGGGAUAGCUGGGUCAAAUGGUGGUUCCAUUCCAAGUUUUCUAAGGAAUCUCUAUACUGCUGUUCAGAGUGGUACUCCAAUUUGCAGUCUCACCAGCUAU
rnacentral:pre_miRNA from 1 species